UACGUAGGGUGCGAGCGUUGUCCGGAAUUACUGGGCGUAAAGAGCUCGUAGGUGGUUUGUCGCGUUGUCCGUGAAAACUCACAACUCAAUUGUGGGCGUGCGGGCGAUACGGGCAGACUGGAGUACUGCAGGGGAGACUGGAAUUCCUGGUGUAGCGGUGGAAUGCGCAGAUAUCAGGAGGAACACCGGUGGCGAAGGCGGGUCUCUGGGCAGUAACUGACGCUGAGGAGCGAAAGCAUGGGGAGCAAACAGG
rnacentral:rRNA from 1 species